UGUAUUUAUUUGUUUAUAUAUUUUUGUAUUU
rnacentral:piRNA from 1 species